AUGGACUCUCCCUCGCCCUUUCCUGGACACGGGCGGACCCGGGAGCUUCGCUGGCGCGAUGCCAGCCCGGCCGGCUCCCCGGCCUCGCCCCGCCCCGCCUCCUACGCCCAAGCGGCGGCCCUACCCCUGUCGCCUUCCCCUCCGGCCGCCUGUCCGCAUCCACGCUCCGAGAUCCACCGGGUAUCUCCGGCGGAGGAGCCUCUGGAUCUGCCGGCGGGCUGGACUGAGGUCCGUGGCGGGGGCCGCGACCGCCGUCCUCGCCCGCGUCCGCGUCCUCCUCGCCGCGACCGCACCGCCCUCCGUCGAGAUCCCGCCUCCCCGCGGCCGGCUGAGUGCCCGCGCUGUCUCAGCUCCUCCCCCGACCACCGCCCUGCAGAGUGCCGUCGCGAUGUGCGCUGCCGGCGUUGCCGCCACUAUGGCCAUGUCGCUCGGUUCUGCACCGCGCCGCACCCCCACCCCUCUGGUUCGCCGCCUCACAAACGGCUCUGCGCCCACUCCCCCGGGUCUUCUGCGGCGAGCAUUGCCGGACCAUCGGGCCCCGCGUCCUCCGGGGCUCGGUCCGUGCCGGCCUCGCCUAUGACCUCGGCGUCCGCCUCUCUGCCCACGGCUUCGCCGCGAGUCUCCCGCCGGCAUCGUCCUCCCCCUGGUAGCGCGGUCCGGUCCGUCCAUGGCAGCUGCCUCCCGAUGUCCGGCCAUCCCUUCCCGCGGCCCGCGGCGGAGAUCUGUUACCUCCCCUGGAGUGAGGAGAUGACGGUGGCCGAGCUGGAGCUACAGUCUGCGCUCGUGGCUACCGUGGCUGGCAACCAUGGUGGCAUCUUCGUUGAGGAGGUCUCCGUGGCGCUCAUGGAGCGUUUCAACCUCAAUCGCUGCGCGUUCUCCGUGCACCGCCACUUCCCCGAUGACUUUCUCAUCUGCUUCCGGACCAGGGAGGACCGUUCCCGGGUGGCGGCUGGUAGCCUCCACGCCCCUCACUUCCGGCUGGUGUUUACCCCCUGGAGCCACCUCGCCGGCGGUGAGCCGGUGACUGCUCGUUUUUGUGUGCGCAUCUCCAUCCACGGCAUCCUCGACCAUGCCUGGUCUUGCUCCGCCGCCGAAUUCAUCCUCACACCCUUCUGCCUCAUCGACAACCUGGCGCUUGAGACAAGCUCCGGCCAGGACAUGUCGGAAUUUCGGCUGUUGGCUUGGACCGCCAACCCCGACUGGAUUUCGCGCUCGUCUGAGCUCCUCUUGCCAGUGUGCGGCGGGAUUGAUCAUCACGCCGACCCGGAUCACGUCUUCCGAUUCGGGAGGUCGCUCAUCCGCUUCCCGGUCUCCAUCCACGUCGAGGAGACCGAGGACUAUCGUCUUCCGAGCCCUCCUCCGCCGCCAGACGCCGGCCUGGGUGAUCCUGACGCCCCUGGUCGUGGUCCCCCCCCGGUCCCGGGCCCAUGGCCCCGUCGCCAUGAGCACCCCCCCUCUGCCUGUUGA
rnacentral:rRNA from 1 species